rnacentral:lncRNA from 1 species
UAGGGAUUCUGAUUGUAAAUGCUGUUUAGUAUCUUGUUGAUUUCAUCUUCGAAAUGAUAAGCUAAUCCAAGUCUUUGCAACGUAUCAAUCAGUUCGAGCUGAUCCAGAGGAAUCACAACUCCGGUAAGCAUCGUCUUAACACUUUCCUUCAACUGGUUAAUUCGUUUUAUAUAUGAUUCUCCCUGGAUCGCCAUCAAGAAUUUUCUUUUUAGACUUUCUGCGAAUAUGAAAAAUCUUAACAAUAAGAAUAACAUCCCCAUAUCCAUAUUGUCUCGCUUUCUUUCUUUCUUUCUAAUCGGCAAUGGAAAAACUCAACAGGGAUGAUAUUAAUAAACUAUCUCACUUUUACACGCAAUGAAUUGUCUUAUAUUGCAUGAGUACAAGACUUUUAGGUUCAGAUGCUAUUAUAAAGAUCAAUAAGCACAACAAGAAACAGAUAAAAAAAAGGAACCAAGCAUAAUUAUGAGAAAAAAGAAGGCAAAAUAAUAUAUGUAUAUACCACAAAUUCAUUCUUGAGUGAUUGCACAAAGCUGUAAUCCCAAAUUGGAGAGUGAUAAUUUGCAGAACGUCUGAUUACAAUUUCAUUUGACAUUUUUGGUCCAACCAUGCAUCUAAUUAGGUUAGAAAAAUAACAAUUAUAUGGUGACUUUAACUGUGUACUGUAUGAUAGUUUAGCGGGAUUGCCAUUACUAAAAUAAGAGGCAGAAGAAAAUAGAAGUGCCAUUUGGAAGGGCUUUAGGAUAUUAGGUUACUGAAGGAGGUGGUAGUAUUUAAACCCGCCUGCAGAAUUCAUUUAUCUCGUUCAAUUGGAAGUAAAUUCUUCUCGGUAAAUAAAUUCAUUUCAUUGUUGUUAAAAAAAGGGGCUUUGAGAUGGUCCUGCCAUGUACUGCCAAUUUGUUAGCUCCUGUCGGCAAGUGCAUCCUACCCUACGGAUAAAUGCUCAUUUUGUUAGCUCAAUAGAAGAUUAUCCACGUGAUGAUCUCUAUCCCACAAAUAUCACUUCAUCAGUCACGGAAGAUUAUCCACGUGAUUAUCUCUAUCCCAAAAAUAUCAAAAUGCAAAAGUUUUGAUAGCUCUCUCCUAAAAAUCAAUUAUACAUGGCAGAUAAUUCUUGUAAGUGCGGUUUGAUUGAAGAAUUCAUAAUAUUGAGCUAUGAACUAUUAUUGUGAUUGAUAUGCAUCAUAUUAUACAUAUUUACAUGCCUAAUUUUUUACAUUUUUGUGCAUAGUUAUCUCGUUUUAUAUUAAAAUCACUUGUCUUUUGGUUCCUUUUACGUUUCAGGUCAUUAUCAAGGGACAUUGUCAAUAAUUGAGGGAAAUACGCGCAAUUAUGGACCAUAAUCUAUCAAAUUGAGCAAGGACUAGCAUUCCAAGGUUGAGCACGCCCUGGACUCCGGCUGUGCUGAAUCAUCAAAUAGUUGCCCUCCAAAAGUGCCAUAGUGGCACGGUUUCCGAAGCCACCACGGUCCGUGGUGGCACAGCACCAUCUAGGGCACAGCCUGGAAGAAGUCAACAGAUGCGGAACGCGGAGGUCCAACACGGCUUGGACUCUACUCGUGCUGAUUAGCACAGGCUUGACCACAGACGUGCUGAAGGGGAUUAUAUAGGCAAAAACGAUUUGCUGAAUUAGGGUUCGACUUUCUGACUUGAUUUCCAUUAUACAAGCUUAGACCAUCUUCUUCCAGACUUUAAUACUCGACCUUAUAAGUUCAUUUCAUCUAUUGAAGGAAGGUUAUAACUAUUUUAUCAUCAAAUUGAAGAUCAAGACAAGAUUUGGGAGCACUCAAGAGGCAAAUUAGGGUUUACUAUUCUGAAUUGGGAAUUUAGAGUUUCUUAUCCAACUUGAAGAAGAAAGGUGUACAUGCCAUUAAUUUACUUUUCUGAAUCUAUUCUUUAUUUUGUGUUCCUUAUUAGUAUGAGUAACUAAAUUGUCAAACCCAUUUGGGGUCCCUAAG